UGACGUUAGCGACAGAAGAAGCACCGGCUAACUCCGUGCCAGCAGCCGCGGUAAUACGGAGGGUGCGAGCGUUAAUCGGAAUUACUGGGCGUAAAGCGCAUGCAGGUGGUUUGUUAAGUCAGAUGUGAAAGCCCGGGGCUCAACCUCGGAAUAGCAUUUGAAACUGGCAGACUAGAGUACUGUAGAGGGGGGUAGAAUUUCAGGUGUAGCGGUGAAAUGCGUAGAGAUCUGAAGGAAUACCGGUGGCGAAGGCGGCCCCCUGGACAGAUACUGACACUCAGAUGCGAAAGCGUGGGGAGCAAACAGGAUUAGAUACCCUGGUAGUCCACGCCGUAAACGAUGUCUACUUGGAGGUUGUGGCCUUGAGCCGUGGCUUUCGGAGCUAACGCGUUAAGUAGACCGCCUGGGGAGUACGGUCGCAAGAUUAAAACUCAAAUGAAUUGACGGGGGCCCGCACAAGCGGUGGAGCAUGUGGUUUAAUUCGAUGCAACGCGAAGAACCUUACCUACUCUUGACAUCCAGAGAACUUUCCAGAGAUGGAUUGGUGCCUUCGGGAACUCUGAGACAGGUGCUGCAUGGCUGUCGUCAGCUCGUGUUGUGAAAUGUUGGGUUAAGUCCCGCAACGAGCGCAACCCUUAUCCUUGUUUGCCAGCGAGUAAUGUCGGGAACUCCAGGGAGACUGCCGGUGAUAAACCGGAGGAAGGUGGGGACGACGUCAAGUCAUCAUGGCCCUUACGAGUAGGGCUACACACGUGCUACAAUGGCGCAUACAGAGGGCGGCCAACUUGCGAAAGUGAGCGAAUCCCAAAAAGUGCGUCGUAGUCCGGAUUGGAGUCUGCAACUCGACUCCAUGAAGUCGGAAUCGCUAGUAAUCGUGGAUCAGAAUGCCACGGUGAAUACGUUCCCGGGCCUUGUACACACCGCCCGUCACACCAUGGGAGUGGGCUG
rnacentral:rRNA from 1 species